rnacentral:rRNA from 1 species
GAUGAACGCUGGCGGCGUGCUUAACACAUGCAAGUCGAACGAAGCAUUUAGGACAGAUUACUUCGGUUUGAAGUUCUUUAUGACUGAGUGGCGGACGGGUGAGUAACGCGUGGGUAACCUGCCUUGUACUGGGGGAUAGCAGCUGGAAACGGCUGGUAAUACCGCAUAAGCGCACAAUGUUGCAUGACAUGGUGUGAAAAACUCCGGUGGUAUAAGAUGGACCCGCGUCUGAUUAGCUAGUUGGUGAGAUAACAGCCCACCAAGGCGACGAUCAGUAGCCGAACUGAGAGGGUGACCGGCCACAUUGGGACUGAGACACGGCCCAGACUCCUACGGGAGUCAGCAGUGGGGAAUAUUGCACAAUGGAGGAAACUCUGAUGCAGCGACGCCGCGUGAGUGAAGAAGUAAUUCGUUAUGUAAAGCUCUAUCAGCAGGGAAGAUAGUGACGGUACCUGACUAAGAAGCUCCGGCUAAAUACGUG